GAAAUGGAUUUGAGGUUUCCUUCCAUCUUUUGGUUCAGCAGCCCUGCAAUUAAACCUCUUUCUCUGCUGCAACCCAGUGUCUUGGCAUAUUGACAUGCUGUGCACAUCAGGCAAAAGACCUAUUACCAUUACAUGAGGACCCCUCCGGAGGGAGAUAAUGGUGGGGGCAUUUCUGGGAGGCUCUGCUUUAGUCAGGUGAGAGAAGUUCAGGUAAGAUUUCUUUCUGUAUCUGCUGUAAUUCAAAUGUUUUCAGUUUUGUCAGUUUUGCCCUUAAACAUGUGCACACACACACACACACACACACACACACACACUCACACUUCCCUUCUUAAGCAGCUAGCAUCUUCAUAUAUCUCUGCUCCUGUCAUGUGCGUCCAUGUGAAGAGACCACCAAACAGGCUUUGUGUGAGCUAUAAAGCUUUUUAAUCACCUGGGUGCAGGCAGACUGAGUCCGAAAAAGGAGUCAGCAAAGGGAGAUGGGGUGGGGCAGUUUUAUAAGAUUUGGGUAGGUAGUGGAAAAUUACAGUCAAAGUGGGUUAUUCUCUUGCAGGCAGGGGCAGGGGUUACAAGGUGCUCAGUGGGGAGGUUCUGAGACUCAUUGUCUAGGAGAAGGAAUGUCACAAGGUUAAUUGAUCAGUUAAGGUGGGGCAGGAACAAAUCACAAUGGUGGAAUGUCAUCAGUUAAGGCAGGAACUGGCUAUUUUCACUUCUUUUGUGGUUCUUCAGUUGCUUCAGGCCAUCUGGAUGUAUACUUGCA
rnacentral:lncRNA from 10 species